AGAACGAACGCUGGCGGCAGGCCUCAAACAUGCAAGUCUAGGGGGGUGUAGCAAUACAUCACCGGCGGACGGGUGCGUAACACGUGGGAAUAUACCUUUUGGUUCGGAACAACGCAGGGAAACUUGCGCUAAUACCGAAUGUGCCCUUACGGGGAAAGAUUUAUCGCCAAAGGAUUAGCCCGCGUAGGAUUAGCUAGUUGGUGAGGUAAUGGCUCACCAAGGCUCCGAUCCUUAGCUGUUCUGAGAGGAAGAUCAGCCACACUGGGACUGAGACACGGCCCAGACUCCUACGGGAGGCAGCAGUGGGGAAUAUUGCACAAUGGGGGAAACCCUGAUGCAGCGACGCCGCGUGCGGGAUGAAGGCCUUCGGGUUGUAACCGCUUUCAGCAGGGGCGAAUUCAGACGGUACCUGCAGAGAAGCGCCGGCUAACUACGCGCCAGCAGCCGC
rnacentral:rRNA from 1 species